CCCAGGGCCGCAGGGCCCUUGACAACCGUUAUGGUUGUCACCCCCUGAUGGCGGCCCUGCCAGUGGAUGACAUGACCCGCAACACUUCAAACGAUGAAAUCGACAUUCCAGAAAUAGUUAGCCAUUUAAACUUAUAAAUCAUUUACCCGAAAAUAAAAUUCUCAACAUGUCCACUGCAUUGUAGUACACUUUAGGGUGAGUUAUAUUACUGAAGAGGUUUGAAUUAUGCUGACGGAUGGCUUUGGGUCUCAAAAGCAAUGUGAGAGUCGACUUGCCCAUCUCUUUACUUGACUUCCAGUGAUUUGUGAUUCAACUUCAUCACUUGCCUUUGCUAUAACUUCCAUUUAAACAUUUCAGUUGAGCUAUUUUUAGGAAUUAGAGGAACAGUCUCAAAUUGGCACUCAGGGCACCAAAACAACGUCAUCUAAAUUAAGUUGUUAUGGUGCCAGGGAGGUGUGACUCUGACUGUAUAAACAAAGUGAUUUAACUCCUAAAUAGCAGAGAAUUGAACUGUG